rnacentral:ncRNA from 2 species
AUAUACGCGCAAGGGAUUGAACGGUUUGUUUGAAAUCCUGCUUGUUUUCCUGAAAAACAAGCAGAUUGAGUAGUGAAAGCCCGACCCUUU